GACGAACGCUGGCGGCGUGCCUAAUACAUGCAAGUCGAACGGUUCUUUCUUUUGGAAGCUUGCUUCCGAUCGAGAGAAUAGUGGCGGACGGGUGAGUAACACGUGGGUAACCUGCCCAUAAGAGGGGGAUAACAUCCGGAAACGGGUGCUAAUACCGCAUAGUUUUUUUGAUCACAUGAUCGAGAAAGGAAAGACGGCCUUUGUGCUGUCGCUUAUGGAUGGACCCGCGGCGUAUUAGUUAGUUGGUGAGGUAAUGGCUCACCAAGACGAUGAUACGUAGCCGACCUGAGAGGGUGAUCGGCCACAUUGGGACUGAGACACGGCCCAAACUCCUACGGGAGGCAGCAGUAGGGAAUCUUCCGCAAUGGACGAAAGUCUGACGGAGCAACGCCGCGUGAGUGAAGAAGGUUUUCGGAUC
rnacentral:rRNA from 1 species